AGCUGGAAAGGAAUUUAACCGUUGCGUGGUCUGGAGGGAAGAGCGGGGAGUCCGGAGCUGCCCCGCUGAGCUGCGACCCUCCUCGCAUCGCUCCUGGUUGGCUCCGUGCGUGGCCGCGCUGCCCCGCGCGUGGGGAGGAGGGAUGGGGAAGGAGGGACGCUCCACGCCAGCGCCCAUCGGCCCCAUCCCUGAGCCCCAGGCGGGCACAACCAUCUCCUCCCCGUGUUCCCUGCCUUCUGCUGGGGGCGAAACGCGGCAGCCCGGGUGCUGUGCUCCCUAACAGCGGGGAUCGUGGGAGUGCCUCCCCCCCCCUCACUUGCAUUCCCUGUGUGCCAAAACCCCAAAGCGACGCAGCCCGCCGCUCGCCCCAGGCCUCAGCACUGGGUGAUGGAGCAAAGCGGGGACCUGCAGCGUGUGGAUGGGGGUCCCAGUGGUCCCAGCUCUGAGGCAGCAGCUCCGCAGUGGGGCUGAGACCCCGAGCCCGGAGCUCUGAGCUCAGAGCUGCUGCAGUGCAGUGCUGUGGCAGCAGCCAGCAGCCCUCCUCCGGGGUGCUGGGAAUCAGCCUCUGCACCAGCACAGCGAGCAAAGGCAGCGUUGUGUUUAGGUUAAAAAAAAAACACGCGGGGAGAAAGCUGCCUUGACCAAGGUUACCCCAGAAAGUCCGUGGCAGAUUCCCCCCCUCCUCACAGCUCCAGCUUGCUGCUGUGCUGCAGCAUCUCCCUGCUCCACUGAGAACUCCCCUUGAGAUCUCCUGGCUGUUGCAGAAGCACUUGCAGGCCAGGACAGCUCAGCCCAGCGCAGAGCAGUGCCAGCCCCAGCUGCACCCUGCCAGGGCACGGAGCGUCCCAGAGCAGGAUGGGAUCCUUCCCACAGCACGUGGCCCCUCCGGAGAUGGGGCUGCGGAGGAGGAAACGCAAACCUACUGCUUUCAGCUCAAAGAUUACCUCAGUGUAAAAGAGGAGAUCUAAAGAAAAUAAGCGACCUCCAAACGCAGUGAAACAAAAAACCUUUCUGUCCAAACCAAACGUUAUGGCUUGACCUGAACUGAACAGUCAUACCAGUAUGGGGACCUUUUGGGUCCUUAUUUCUUUCACUUUGCCCGAAAGCCCCUCCUGCAUCCCCAUCUCUGUGCUAUCCUGGUCCUACUUCCACACCCAGGACAUUCUCUUUGGGCACCAACCAACACUCUUGCUUCAUUUUCCCAUCAACUUCCAUGGUUCUUCAUCCAUGGACAGACCCAUUGGACGUUCUUCCAUCCACAGACCAGACCCAGUGGAUGAUCUUCAUCAAAAGCAAGCAACACUUCAGGUCUCCUCCUUCAUGGACCUGUGAGCCUGCCCCAAGCAUCCUCCAGAGGAAGCCAUGGCCAAGAAGAGAUGGGCACCCGGAAGAUGCUGGUUGGUUUCCCUAUGGCUGCAAUAGGGGAAGCCUAUGGGGAGAGGGCUUCACAAAGAUGUUGGGUUCCAUUUCCAGCCCCCCACCCCUUGCUGGCUGUGCCAGGGCCGUGCCCUCCGACCUGAGGCAAAGAAGUGAAACCCCAGCAAAGUAGCAAACAAGUCGAGGCGUAAACACGGCACGAAUCCGCGGCGCUUCACCGCGGUUCGUUAUCUCUGGUUAGACUGGAGACGGCGGAGCCGGGUUUGAGGAGAGCAGAAAUAUCAGCAAUUAAAGAUAUGUCGUGUCAAAAAAACUCUAAACUGAUUAAAGUUGAAGGCUCCGUUUUCUUCUUUUCAUCAGAGAACGGAAUCAAAACCUGCCUGGAAAGACGCGCUCCCCCCGUUCCCAGCGCUCCGAAGGCAGCGCCUGCAUCCGUCCUGCUGUGUCCCUGCAUUUUAAUUACCAUCUUAUUAAUAUUCAUGAGGAUAGGCACUCAAGGGGGAUUGCAGUCUGUCAUUCUCUCUCUCUUUCUUUCCCCCUCUCUCUCUCUCUCGGCUGAAUCUGUGUGGUUUUUUUUUUCCCUUCCCCAACAGUUGGUGUGCCGCAGAUCCGUACCGCGUGCGCGUGCCGACCCGAGGUGCUGUGUGUGCAAGGGGAGGGCACGGGGGCUUGCACGCGGGUGUGGGUGUGAGUGGGAUUGCCCCCACGGUACAUGGCAUCCCGAGACGAAGCUCAGCGGUGCUGCUCGGAGCGAGCAUGUGUGUGCAAAUGUGGUGCCGUGCGCUCGGUGAGGGAUGUCGGCAUGGGAGCGGAGCGGCACAGCGCUGCCAGCAGAGCUGAUGCACGUGUGAGCAGGCGUGCGAGGAGCGUGUGCUCACACUUGUGUGCAUUAUCCUGGCCGUACCGGUGUCUCAGAGCACCUGGGUUGAUGGUGUGGGACCCCAAUGAGCCACAGCCUGGGCUGUCAUGGUGAAGUGGGACUUGUUGUUUCAGGCAUGCCCUGUGAGCCUGGUUUGUGGGUGCACAGAAGGCGCAGGUUGGCAGUGGAGCUGGAGGUAGAUCGAUUUUUUCAUGCCUAAGUUGAGCAAUAUGGGGUUCACCCGCUGCCAUGUGCCAUGGAACCCUUUUUAUGAUCCCUACUGAACGUAAUGGCCAUGUGGGUGGUGGAGAAGACCUCCUGCAAAGCCACACGUGUCCUGCUCCCAUCUAGCUGGAGGAAACAUGGCAAGGACUGGGCUAUCCCCAACUGGGCCACAGCCAUGGGCAGAUCCCCCAUCACCCCACAGUCAUUCCAAACAUCCCAACCACCACCACUACCACCUGCGCUUCUAUUUUCAAGGAAGAUGCAGCACCAAGGCUCCAUCUUUCCCCAUCACCUUCCUCUUGGCUAGCGCCACCGAGACCUCAAAGCCCUCUGGGGAAGGAUCCCACCAUCCAGCGCACAGCCCUGCCAUCACCAACCACCUGCAGAAACCUGUGGAGAGACACUCCAACUCCACGGCUCCCCAACGCCCCACUUGCUCAGCUCCACAAAUAUUUGAAUUAAGGUCCCCCGGGGAGCCGCAGUCACAGAGUAACUGAUUUCUCCUCCUUCAUUAUAUCUCUGUGUAAUUUACCGAGGGACGGCAGCGUGUGCCUCCGUUCGAGUGAAUUCCCAGCAGGACUCCCCAGAGCUCACAAAUCAGGCAAAGGCAAGGCAUUAGAAUAUGAAAGGUGAGGCUGGUCUCCCCACCAAGACUCAUCUCACUCUUUCCCGGCUCCAGCAGUCCCAAAUUAUGUUUGAUUUCUCCCUGCCACCUCUGGUGGGUCACACUCCCAUGUGAGCAGGGGGGUGCUUGGGCACAGGGCUGUAUCCCCAGUUCUGUCCCCGCUUGCUCCCGCUACCUUCUGGGCAGGAAAGGGAUGAGGGUCACCUCCCUCUUGGCAGCAUCUCAAGAACAAGAGAUGAAGAGUGCCAAUGGAGCCAACACAGCAAAGGUUUCCGGGUGAAACCAUAUCACACAGCAGAGAUCCCUGCCCCAGCAUCUGACUGCUUUCACCCAUGGCUCCAUUUCCACAACUGCAGAUAAGAGCAAUCAUUCCCUCUGUUUACUAGCUGAAGACCCUACCAAUUAGAUGCUGGAGGUCUACGGAAGCCAACCUGCAUUCUGGAUCCAUCUGCAUUGCAUCUCCAGCAAGGUGGAACCAGAGGACGAGUCUGCCAGUGUGUCUCAAUAGUUCCCUGAAAGAGGUCAGAGAGUUGUAAAGGAGAAACGAAAGAAAAGGGAGAAAUCAAGGUCUUUGGUCUAAGGAUGCACAACUUUGCUGCUUGGGAUUGCUUAUGAAACACGCGGCGUGAAGAGACUGAUAUUCAGCAGACCCAAAUCUGGCCAAACUAAACCCAAACCUAUGCCCAGUCCUGCAAGGUGCCUGUGCCGAGGUGCCAGGUGAGUAUCUCCAGAGUGGGAGGCAAUCAAGAGGUCGCAGGACCUCCCAUGGGUCUGAACUGCACCUGUAGGGCAGGGGCUGUCCCUGAGCCAGCCCGGGCAUGGCCGGGGAUGUGGCACCAGGGUAAGGCACCAGUCGGGCUGUGAGGCAGCGAGCUCUCUGUUCCAGAUAUGCUGCAAACAGCGGAGGGCAACAUUUUGCUUCCUGGAAACCCAGAGAAAGAAGUGUUUUUCCUAAGAGCUGCAGCUCGUAGGCAACCUGUAAUGGAGGCUUCAGCAAAUUGGGUGUUCCCCCUUCCAUCUCCUCUGUGAAGACAAAGCCUUGGCAGAUGGCGGUGGUGCUUCACAGCGCUUGGAUGUUGUUUGGGAGCCGGGUGCACGAACCCUAACUCUCUUUCUUCCCUUUAGAGGUACAAGCAAUGUGAAAUCUGCCUAUCCCUCGGAUAUCUCAACUUCUCAGAGCCCACGUACUGUCUCUUCGCACAGCUGACUCAAGGACCUAAGGCUCUUCAAUCUGUAACAAAGAACUCCUUUCUCCCAAACGUUCCCCAGUCAUCGGAGCUAAAUAGGCUGUGCUGAAACCAAACAAAAUAAAGCCCAUGCGAAGGCAG